CGGUGGGUAUGGUUGUCCUGCGAGAGAACGUUCUGUGCUGGUGAUUUGGUCCUGUCAGGUGCUGGUGGGUCCUGAUUCUGUGCUGGUGGGUUUGUUUACAUUGUAUCAGUACGGCAAUAAAACGACUGUUUUGUUGCUUAAUUUUUCUCUGAUGCGUCAUAAGUACCAUGCAAAGUAUAUUACAACAAUAUUAUAUUGCAAAAGUCGUGCAAGUUCGUUAAACGGAAUUGUGCUGACGCUGUGCUGGUGAUAAGAAAAACGGUCCUGGUUCUGUGCUCCUAUGUCCUGGUUCUGUGCCUUUAUAUUUUAGUUAAAAGUGGCAUAUAUUCAAGAUCAUUGAUGCUGUACUGUUAUUGACUAAUUAACUGUUGUCUGCUUUCUUGAAAUUGACAUUGUUGUGAAUCUGUUUACUGUUAUUAUGAGAGAAAAAAUACCCCUAUUUUUUUUAUUUUUUUUUUAAAAUUAACUGUAAUCUUAUUUAUUGGCCUGUUAAUGGAACCCUUCUUGCCCCCUUUUAAGAUCAGAAAAUAUGUUUACGAUUUUCGGGAUUACGAUCAUUUUGCAAGAUCACCAAAAUACGUUGUAAUUUAUACAAUGCUUAUAUAAAGAAGAUGAUGUGGUAUGUUUGUUGUCAAUGGACAAAGGAGUAGGUCCAGUAAG
rnacentral:lncRNA from 1 species